UGCCAGCCGCCGCGGUAAUACGGAGGGUCCAAGCGUUAUCCGGAUUUAUUGGGUUUAAAGGGUCCGCAGGCGGGAUAUUAAGUCAGUGGUGAAAGCCUACAGCUUAACUGUAGAACUGCCAUUGAUACUGUUAUUCUUGAAUAUAGUUGAGGUAGGCGGAAUGUGUAAUGUAGCGGUGAAAUGCUUAGAUAUUACACAGAACACCGAUUGCGAAGGCAGCUUGCUAAACUAUGAUUGACGCUGAUGCACGAAAGCGUGGGGAGCGAACAGGAUUAGAUA
rnacentral:rRNA from 1 species